CAGGCCUAACACAUGCAAGUCGAACGGGAAGGCGGCUUUCGGGUCGCUGGAGAGUGGCGAACGGGUGAGUAACGCGUAACUGAUCUGCCCCAUAGACUGGGAUAACCUUUGGAAACAGAGGCUAAUACGGGAUGAACUUGGCGGAGUUAGGUUUCUGCUGAGGAAAGGUUUAGGCGCUAUGGGAUGAGGUUGCGGUCCAUCAGCUAGUUGGUGAGGUAAAGGCUCACCAAGGCGAUGACGGAUAGGGGAUCUGAGAGGGUGGCCCCCCACACUGGGACUGAGACACGGCCCAGACUCCUACGGGAGGCAGCAGUAAGGGAUAUUGCACAAUGGGCGGAAGCCUGAUGCAGCGACGCCGCGUGGGCGAAGAAGGUUUUCGGAUCGUAAAGUCCUUUUCUAUGUGACGAGGUAGGACGGUAGCAUAGGAAUAAGUGUCGGCUAACUACGUGCCAGCAGCCGCGGUAAAACGUAGGACGCGAACGUUAUCCGGAGUUACUGGGCGUAAAGCGCGCGCAGGCGGUGUCAUAAGUUACCCAUGAAAGGUACUGGCUAAACUGGUAUUGGUUGGGUGAAACUGAGGUACUAGAGAGAAAUAGAGGGAAGCGGAAUUCCGGGUGUAGUGGUGAAAUGCGUAGAUAUCCGGAGGAAUAC
rnacentral:rRNA from 1 species